rnacentral:snRNA from 1 species
ACAGCUUUUGAUUACCAAUCAGA